GUUCGGCAGCUAAUUAAGUCAAAGAGCAGCAUUCAACGACCAGAUGCAGCCCUAUGGUAACUCUUGAAGCUCGAUGAUCAAGAGCUCCUCCAUUGAAGUAUAGGAUUGUAUUGUAGGCCUACCGAGAAAGCUCAUGCCACAUCGGUCUUCCAUCCAGAGAUACGCCAAGAUCGAGACGUGUUCAUGUCGAAUUGUUUUCAGAAGUCGCUUGGCGAGGCCAAGCCUUGACUUUAACCGAGGGACAGUCUAUACAAUUCCGUUGAGCCAUUUGGAUGUAAUGCCCGAGUUCCUUGUUCGGGGUUUGAAUCUGGUUCUAGUACAAAUCUAGCCUCAUAAAAAGUACCUGAAAUCCAAUAAAAAAAAUCUGAUCCGUUAACCCGACAAUAUGUCUUUUUUUAUCCGAGCUCACGGGUGUUUAAAGUUAAUUCAUCUGCAUUUUUUAUUA